rnacentral:rRNA from 1 species
GAUCCUGGCUCAGGAUGAACGCUGGCGGCGUGCCUAACACAUGCAAGUCGAGCGAAGCACUUUGCUUAGAUUCUUCGGAUGAAGAGGAUUGUGACUGAGCGGCGGACGGGUGAGUAACGCGUGGGUAACCUGCCUCAUACAGGGGGAUAACAGUUAGAAAUGACUGCUAAUACCGCAUAAGACCACAGCACCGCAUGGUGACGGGGUAAAACUCGGUGGUAUGAGAUCGGCCCG